rnacentral:rRNA from 1 species
UACGUAGGCAGCAAGCGUUGAUCGGAAUUACUGGGCGUAAAGGGUGUGCAGGCGGCUUGGUAAGUGUGGUGUGAAAUCUCCCGGCUUAACUGGGAGGGUGCGCUACAAACUGCCGGGCUAGAGUGUGGGAUGGGAGAGUGGAAUUCCUGGUGUAGCGGUGAAAUGCGUAGAUAUCAGGAGGAACACCGGUGGUGUAGACGGCUCUCUGGACCAUAACUGACGCUGAGACACGAAAGCGUGGGUAGCAAACAGG